GGGGAUGAGCUGUGGAUAGGGGUGAAAGGCCAAUCAAACUCUGUGAUAGCUGGUUCUCCCCGAAAUGCAUUUAGGUGCAGCGUUACGUGUUUCUUGCCGGAGGUAGAGCUACUGGAUGGCCGAUGGGCCUUCACGGGUUACUGACGUCAGCUAAACUCCGAAUGCCGGUAAGUGAGAGCGUAGCAGUGAGACAGUGGGGGAUAAGCUUCAUUGUCGAGAGGGAAACAGCCCAGACCACCAACUAAGGCCCCUAAGCGUGUGCUAAGUGGGAAAGGAUGUGGAGUUGCUUAGACAACCAGGAGGUUGGCUUAGAAGCAGCCACCCUUGAAAGAGUGCGUAACAGCUCACUGGUCAAGUGAUUCUGCGCCGAUAAUGUAGCGGGGCUCAAGUACACCGCCGAAGUUGUGGCAAUGAUCUUUUUGGAUUGUUGGGUAGGGGAGCGUCGUGUGGCCGUUGAAGCUGCGGUGUAAACCAGUGGUGGAGGCUAUGCGAGUGAGAAUGCAGGCAUGAGUAGCGAAAGAUGAGUGAGAAACUCAUCCGCCGGAUGAUCAAGGGUUCCAGGGUCAAGUUAAUCUGCCCUGGGUUAGUCGGGGCCUAAGGCGAGGCCGACAGGCGUAGUCGAUGGAUAACGGGUUGAUAUUCCCGUACCGGUGAAGAACCGCCCAUACUGAUAUUGUGAUGCUAACCAUGCGAAGCAUGAUGUGCAGGCUUUUGUUUGUGUGUUGUGUGGGUUGUGGGACCCGAUCUUUGGAGGUAAACGUGUUAACAGGUGUGACGCAGGAAGGUAGCCAAGCCACGCGAUGGUUGUCGUGGUCUAAGCGUGUAGGGUUGUCGGUUGUUAAAUGCGCCGGCUGUGUGCCUGAGACGUGAUGGGACCCCGUUUUUGGGGGAUUUGGUGAUCCUAUGCUGCCGAGAAAAGCAUCGGCGUGAGGUUUUAGCCGCCCGUACCCUAAACCGACACAGGUGAUCAGGUAGAGAAUACUAAGGCGAUCGAGAGAAUCAUGGUUAAGGAACUCGGCAAAAUGCCCCCGUAACUUCGGGAGAAGGGGGACCUUGAGCGUGAUGGGCACUUGCUGCCUGGAGCGUGUAUGGGUCGCAGAGACCAGGGGGAAGCGACUGUUUAUCAAAAACACAGGUCCGUGCGAAGUCGUAAGACGAUGUAUACGGACUGACUCCUGCCCGGUGCUGGAAGGUUAAGAGGAUUGGUUAGCCUUUGUGGCGAAGCUGAGAAUUUAAGCCCCAGUAAACGGCGGUGGUAACUAUAACCAUCCUAAGGUAGCGAAAUUCCUUGUCGGGUAAGUUCCGACCUGCACGAAUGGAGUAACGACUUCCCUACUGUCUCAACCAUGAACUCGGCGAAAUUGCAGUACGAGUAAAGAUGCUCGUUUCGCGCAGCAGGACGGAAAGACCCCGUGACCUUUACUAUAGUUUGGUAUUGGUGUUUGGUUUGGCUUGUGUAGGAUAGGUGGGAGACUGUGAAGCAUGGACGCUAGUUUGUGUGGAGUCGUUGUUGAAAUACCACUCUGGUCAAUCUGGAUGUCUAACUUCGGGCCAUGAUCUGGUUCAGGGACAGUGCCUGAUGGGUAGUUUAACUGGGGCGGUUGCCUCCUAAAGUGUAACGGAGGCGCCCAAAGGUUCCCUCAGCCUGGUUGGCAAUCAGGUGUUGAGUGUAAGUGCACAAGGGAGCUUGACUGUGAGACUUACAUGUCGAGCAGGUACGAAAGUAGGAACUAGUGAUCCGGCCAUGGCUUGAGGAAGCGUGGUCGCUCAACGGAUAAAAGGUACCCCGGGGAUAACAGGCUGAUCUUGCCCAAGAGUCCAUAUCGACGGCAUGGUUUGGCACCUCGAUGUCGGCUCGUCGCAUCCUGGGGCUGGAGUCGGUCCCAAGGGUUGGGCUGUUCGCCCAUUAAAGCGGUACGCGAGCUGGGUUCAGAACGUCGUGAGACAGUUCGGUCCCUAUCCGCUGCGCGCGUUGGAAAUUUGAGAAAGGCUGUCCUUAGUACGAGAGGACCGGGACGGACGAACCUCUGGUAUGUCAGUUGUACCGCCAGGUGCAUGGCUGAUUGGCUACGUUCGGGAGGGAUAACCGCUGAAAGCAUCUAAGCGGGAAGCCUGUUUCGAGAUGAGAUUUCCUGGCACUUUGG
rnacentral:rRNA from 1 species